rnacentral:ncRNA from 1 species
UUUAUGGAGAGUUUGAUCCUGGCUCAGGAUGAACGCUGGCGGCGUGCCUAAUACAUGCAAGUCGAGCGAACAGACGAGGAGCUUGCUCCUCUGACGUUAGCGGCGGACGGGUGAGUAACACGUGGAUAACCUACCUAUAAGACUGGGAUAACUUCGGGAAACCGGAGCUAAUACCGGAUAACAUGUUGAACCGCAUGGUUCAACAGUGAAAGACGGUCUUGCUGUCACUUAUAGAUGGAUCCGCGCC